rnacentral:lncRNA from 1 species
AUUCUAUCAUAUUUCUUAUCAAGUCAUCUCUUCCGAGUCUUUUUCUCUCUUUCUUCUGAAAAUUGUGUAUCGAUUUACCUAAAUGCGUGUAUUAAUAUAUUGGAUAACUAUAUUGUCGGGUGUGUGUCGACUAGCUAUAUACUAUAUAUUGGUGAACAGCAUAUUAUAGGAGCUAUAUAUCGAUUUAUUUGGAGGCAUAUAUUAGGUUGCUACUAUGUGUGUAUCAAAGAAACUUAUGGUAUGUAUCAGAAAACCGAUAAGUAUGUAUCGCUUAAUAAAGAAGAAAGAAGAUACGCUGAAUUUUUUUAUUUAAUAGAAAAAAUUUCUUUAUUUGACUUCUGGGUUUUCUCUUUAAGAUGCACAUAAUAGAAAACGUGGCAAAAAAAAAGGAGUCCCGCCCUAUAUGAUGUACUAUGGUGCCCAUCCCAUAUGAUUUUUGUUCUUGGAUUAUUUUGUAAGUGAAUGUUGGAGUUUUCUUUUAUGACACUCCAUUUAGUGUGACACACGCCGCUGCUACUAAUCUACAUGCAUUAAUGUUAUGUCCAAACACACUUGAAACGGCUUGAUCAAUGGGACACACAAGUUUGUUAGUCCUUA